rnacentral:rRNA from 1 species
GACGAACCGUGCGAACGUUAUUCGGAAUCACUGGGCUUAAAGCGCGUGUAGGCGGGCCGGCACGUCGAUCGCUGAAAUCCCGCGGCUCAACCGCGGAAGUGGCGUCGAUACGACCGGCCUGGAGGGGGUAGGGGGAGCCGGAACUUCCGGUGGAGCGGUGAAAUGCGUUGAGAUCGGAAGGAACGCCCGUGGCGAAAGCGGGCUCCUGGGACCCCACCUGACGCUGAGACGCGAAAGCCAGGGGAGCGAACGGG